rnacentral:lncRNA from 1 species
CAAUCAGAGGCGCCACGUGGAAGGUGGGUGGGGCAACGCGGCAUAAAAGAGGUGGGCGUCGUACGCCGUUACGCAGCGCGGUUGCUGGGCACCUCGACUAUCACCUGACCGUAGUAAUAUCUCCUGCUACGCGCGUUGUGACCAAUGCUGCAUACAGGAGAUGAGGGAGGACGGCCAGACACCUGGAAGCCGGAAAAUGGGAAAAAAUGUGAAGAGCAUAACAUUGAAGAUCAGUCCAAAAACCAAGAAAGAAGUCUAAGCCAGCAAUCGGUGCAGUUUAACAUCUGAGGGCUGUCCAAGAGAGGAAGAGAUUCCCACAGUACCAUUGUCAUGCCAGGAUGACUGCAGGCAGAAACAAAGCUGAGCCACUUCCCCUCCCCUCAAGAGCAAUAUCAGAGACUUAAAGUUAUGAAGAAGAAAUUGACAGAGCAAGAGCAUCGCCAUCGUGGACAAGCACCUCAUUUUAAAAUUCACCUUAAUCAAAAACUCUAAAUCCAAAGGGCAUCAGCCUAAUGGCUAAGGUCAGCAUGACCAUAAACCACAAAUAAUCUCGCUGACCAAAAACAUUCCAGACUCCUCCCUGACCAGAGACAUGCACCAAGAUAACCCCCACUCUGGCUGGGAAGAUGCCAGCCCUGAGAAACCCCGCUCCGGCCAGAAAGAUGUCUGCCCCAAAAUAACCUCCCCUCCGCCCAGAGACAUUCCAAGCUUGUAAUAAGCCCCCUCACCCUAAAACCAAUAUAUACUCUUAGCCUGUAAGAAAAAGUGCUCCUGACCAAAAUAGGCCAGAAGCCCUUCAGAUUGUUUCUAAAAUAAACCUGUCUUUAACCAUCAAGCUGUGUUUCUUUCCUCUUUAACUCUUACAGAAAUAGACUUCACCAAAAUAGUCCAAUCGGUCUCUAAACAAAACAAAGCAAAUAACAAUAACAAGGCCCGGAGAAAUUGAACAUACUUGAGAAGGUUCAGUAUGUUAUCAAAAAUGUCCAAUUUGCAAC